rnacentral:lncRNA from 1 species
CAGUCUGCAGAGAGCAGAACAUCUCAGGGUCACUGCUGCUUCCUCCUGCCCCUCCCAUUGCCCACUGUGCAGGGAUCCUGGCUGUGUUGGAUCCUGGCUGUGUUGGAUCCUGGCUGUGUUGGAUCCUGGCUGUGUUGGAUCCUGGCUGUGUUGGAUCCUGGCUGUGUUGGAUCCUGGCUGUGUUGGAUCCUGGCUGUGCAGGGAUCCUGGCUGUGUUGGAUCCUGGCUGUGUUGGGAUCCUGGCUGUGCAGGGAUCCUGGCUGUGUUGGAUCCUGGCUGUGUUGGAUCCUGGCUGUGUUUGGAUCCUGGCUGUGUUGGAUCCUGGCUGUGCAGGGAUCCUGGCUGUGUUUGGAUCCUGGCUGUGUUUGGAUCCUGGCUGUGUUGGAUCCUGGCUGUGUUGGAUCCUGGCUGUGCUGGAUCCUGGCUGUGUUGGAUCCUGGCUGUGCUGGAUCCUGGCUGUGUUGGAUCCUGGCUGUGUUUGGAUCCUGGCUGUGUUGGAUCCUGGCUGUGUUGGAUCCUGGCUGUGUUUGGAUCCUGGCUGUGUUGGAUCCUGGCUGUGUUGGAUCCUGGCUGUGUUGGAUCCUGGCUGUGUUGGAUCCUGGCUGUGUUGGAUCCUGGCUGUGUUGGAUCCUGGCUGUGCAGGGAUCCUGGCUGUGUUGGAUCCUGGCUGUGUUGGAUCCUGGCUGUGUUGGAUCCUGGCUGUGCAGGGAUGCUGGCUGUGUUUGGAUCCUGGCUGUGUUGGAUCCUGGCUGUGUUGAUCCUGGCUGUGCAGGGAUCCUGGCUGUGUUGGGAUGCUGGCUGUGCAGGGAUCCUGGCUGUGUUGGAUCCUGGCUGUGCUGGAUCCUGGCUGUGUUGGAUCCUGGCUGUGUUGGAUCCUGGCUGUGUUGGAUCCUGGCUGUGCUGGAUCCUGGCUGUGUUGGAUCCUGGCUGUGUUGGAUCCUGGCUGUGUUGGAUCCUGGCUGUGUUGGAUCCUGGCUGUGUUGGAUCCUGGCUGUGUUGAUCCUGGCUGUGCUGGAUCCUGGCUGUGCAGGGAUCCUGGCUGUGUUGGAUCCUGGCUGUGCUGGAUCCUGGCUGUGUUGGAUCCUGGCUGUGUUGGAUCCUGGCUGUGUUGGAUCCUGGCUGUGUUGGAUCCUGGCUGUGUUGGGAUCCUGGCUGUGUUGGAUCCUGGCUGUGCCGGAUCCUGGCUGUGCAGGGAUCCUGGCUGUGUUGGAUCCUGGCUGUGUUGGAUGCUGGCUGUGCAGGGAUCCUGGCUGUGUUGGAUCCUGGCUGUGUUGGAUCCUGGCUGUGUUGGAUCCUGGCUGUGUUGGGAUCCUGGCUGUGUUGGGAUCCUGGCUGUGUUGGGAUCCUGGCUGUGUUGGGAUCCUGGCUGUGUUGGAUCCUGGCUGUGCUGGAUCCUGGCUGUGCAGGGAUGCUGGCUGUGUUUGGAUCCUGGCUGUGCAGGGAUCCUGGCUGUGCUGGGAUCACCUCUGCUGGUGA